ACACACACACACACACACACACACACACACACACACAGUUGUGGUGUUUGCAUAUGUGUGCUGUGUCACUGCUGCACACACUUUAAGAGCUGUAGUGCUGAUCAGAGUGUGUUCAGUCCUUUCAGAGCCACUGACACGCAGCACAAUGAUGAUGGUACUGAUUCUACUGCUGGGGACACUGGGACUCCUCGCUCACCAGUCCUUUGGGGAAAUCGUCGUGACUCAGUCUCCAGGAUCUCAGUCUGUUUCUCCAGGAGAAUCUGUUACUCUCACCUGUAGAACCAGUCAGAGUGUUAGCAGUUACCUCGCCUGGUACCUGCAGAAACCUGGAGAAGCUCCUAAACUCCUGAUCUAUGCUGCAUCUACUCGUCAGUCUGGGAUUCCAGAUCGUUUCAGUGGCAGUGGAUAUGGAACACAGUUUAGUCUAAAAAUCUCUGGAGUUCAGACUGAAGAUGCAGGAGAUUAUUACUGUCAGCAGUAUAACAGCGGGUACACACAGUGUUAUAGCACCGUACAAAAACCUCCCUCAGCUGUAGAGGAAGUGCUCUGAGUCAGAAACACACACUGAUCUGAGAACAGCUGCAGAGCUGCUAAAGCUGCACUCCACUGAACAUCAUCAAACGUGUUCAUGUUUAAAAAAUAAUCAUUCCUGAAAAGCAGAAAACUCUUAAUCAGCUGUUCCUUCUGUGAUGAAAAAUCAGCUGAUGUGUAUAAUGGUAUAUGAUGAUUUCCACCUUCUGCUAAGAGGAGCAGUGUCUACUACACACUACUGUAACACACAAUGUAGUGCAGG